UCAGAUUGAACGCUGGCGGCAGGCCUAACACAUGCAAGUCGGACGGUAGCACAGAGGAGCUUGCUCCUCGGGUGACGAGUGGCGGACGGGUGAGUAAUGUCUGGGAAACUGCCCGAUGGAGGGGGAUAACUACUGGAAACGGUAGCUAAUACCGCAUAACGUCGCAAGACCAAAGUGGGGGACCUCCGGGCCUCACACCAUCGGAUGUGCCCAGAUGGGAUUAGCUAGUAGGCGGGGUAACGGCCCACCUAGGCGACGAUCCCUAGCUGGUCUGAGAGGAUGACCAGCCACACUGGAACUGAGACACGGUCCAGACUCCUACGGGAGGCAGCAGUGGGGAAUAUUGCACAAUGGGCGCAAGCCUGAUGCAGCCAUGCCGCGUGUAUGAAGAAGGCCUUCGGGUUGUAAAGUACUUUCAGCGGGGAGGAAGGUGGUGAGGUUAAUAACCUCAUCAAUUGACGUUACCCGCAGAAGAAGCACCGGCUAACUCCGUGCCAGCAGCCGCGGUAAUACGGAGGGUGCAAGCGUUAAUCGGAAUUACUGGGCGUAAAGCGCACGCAGGCGGUCUGUUAAGUCAGAUGUGAAAUCCCCGGGCUUAACCUGGGAACUGCAUUUGAAACUGGCAGGCUUGAGUCUCGUAGAGGGGGGUAGAAUUCCAGGUGUAGCGGUGAAAUGCGUAGAGAUCUGGAGGAAUACCGGUGGCGAAGGCGGCCCCCUGGACGAAGACUGACGCUCAGGUGCGAAAGCGUGGGGAGCAAACAGGAUUAGAUACCCUGGUAGUCCACGCCGUAAACGAUGUCGACUUGGAGGUUGUUCCCUUGAGGAGUGGCUUCCGGAGCUAACGCGUUAAGUCGACCGCCUGGGGAGUACGGCCGCAGGGUUAAAACUCAAAUGAAUUGACGGGGGCCCGCACAAGCGGUGGAGCAUGUGGUUUAAUUCGAUGCAACGCGAAGAACCUUACCUACUCUUGACAUCCAGCGAACUUGGCAGAGAUGCAUUGGUGCCUUCGGGAACGCUGAGACAGGUGCUGCAUGGCUGUCGUCAGCUCGUGUUGUGAAAUGUUGGGUUAAGUCCCGCAACGAGCGCAACCCUUAUCCUUGUGUUGCCAGCGAUUCGGUCGGGAACUCAAAGGAGAGUCCGGUGAUCAGUCUCCUGGCUGAUGUACUGUUCAUGGCCGAGAAGGACUCCCGA
rnacentral:rRNA from 1 species